AACUUUUAGCAACGGAUCACUGAACUGAGGGAAAAAUGCGGUUUAACCCAGGUGCAGCUGGCCGAGAAGGUUGGAACAACGCAAGCUGGAAUUUCUCGCCUGGAAAACCCCAACUACCGAAACUACUCGUUAACAACGCUCGAAAAGGUGGCAGCGGCGCUCGGCGCGCGAUUGAGAGUCGAGUUGGAAGAGCCGUCGAAGGCGGCGUAUGAAAGCUCCUAAACGGCUAGGAUGAGUCGGCUUGCCGGUGAUCGUGUAGUGGAACCAUUUGCGCGUUAAGCUGCGGAGUACUGGCGGAUUUCAACCUGAAUUCCGGAGCGGGCGGCUUGCGUGGCUGACUUAAGCAUAUCAAUAAGCGGAGGCU
rnacentral:misc_RNA from 1 species